GUGCUUACUUCAGCAUCACAUAUACUAAAAUUGGAAUGAUACAGAAAAGAUUAGCAUAGUCCCUGACACUCAAUUCCUGAAGCAGUCCAUAUUUUU
rnacentral:snRNA from 1 species